GCGCCCUCGCUUGGGCAGCGCACACCCUAAAAUUGGAACGACACAGAGGAGACUAGCAUGGCCUUGCACAAGAUGACAUGCAAGUUGAUGAAAUUUUCCAUCUUUAA